AGAGGCAGGCAGGCAGGCAGGGCGAGGGCGAGAGACGGAGGGAGGGAGCGAGCGAGGCAGACCAGACAGACAGACAGGCGGGCGGGCGGGCAGAGCGAGCCACCCGCCAGGCUGCGCUCAGCCCCGCUCGCAGCGGAGAGAGCAGAAGGCAGGAGGAGGGAGGGGAGGAGGGAGGAGGGAGGGAGAGAGGGAAUCCAGCUACCACCACCCAAAGCCAGCGUCUGCUUUCUGUCCUCAUUUCCUUUUCCCACCCAGCUCGGAGAGCAGAGAAAGGCAGAGAGAGCGAGAAAUAGAGACAGGCAGACAAACAGACAGACAGACAGACAGAGCGGGAGGGAGGAGGGCGGCGGAGGAGGAGCAGGAGGACUACGCGGGGCGCCUUCCCUCCCAGCAGCCAGGCGUCCGCGUCGCUGCCGCUGGCGGAAGAUAGACGCCCCCCGAAAACCCCUCGCCUGGCUCGGACCCACGGAGCCGGCAGCCCAGCACUCCGAUGGGAGCUUGCUUG